CAAUCGUUUUUGCAAGCUAACCAUAGGAAAAACUGAAUACGUUGGGGACCUGGAUAUUUCCAUAUUUCCUUCCACUUUGGAUCCUGAUUGUGCCAUGAAUUCUUUGUUAUCAUUUGGUAUGCAUUUUUGAUCAAAAAUUUUUCUAUGGAGGUAGGCAUCCAUUUAAUUUCAUCGGCCCCUGCUAGAUGGUGUGGAGGAAGUCUUUGCUGAAAUUGGCUUGUGGGUGGAGAUCCAGUUGGUGUAGUUGUAUAUUCGGCUGUAGGCCCUAAUUCCUUUUGGGUCGUAUGGGUUUCUCUAAUGGUCCUAUUUUCAUGUGAGCCCAACUUAUCAUUUAGGUUUUCAAGUGGCUGAAACUGAAUGCUUCCUUGUAUCUUCUCUUUGGCUGCGCCGUUGAUGGUAUUCUUUUUUUUUGCCCACCACCGAUUUCACUUUUCCAAAAUCAUCCAUGGACCAUAAGCAUUGGAGCUGGUUGUGGGGUUGCGUUCCCCUGAUUGAAGUCUUGUUUCCUGGAUUCUUUCACACUCAAUUCUGCUUUCCCCCUUCUCUUGAUGUUCAAUCGUCGAUUUUGGGAAAAUAUCUUGUGUAUGUCCAUAAUGAUUGCAAGAAAAGCAUACCGUAGGAAUGUAUUCAUACUCAAUUCUUUAUAAUACUCCAUUGACAAAUACUUGAGAUGUAAAGGCCUUUCCAAGAUUGACAUAAACCGCCAUUCUUGCAAAUUUUCCCCGAACUCCAUUAUUGGUAUUGAAAUCCAAUUUUGCAACCCUUCUUAUUAUUCCUCUUAUUUCCCAGAGUAUUUUCUUUUUGUACAUAUGCCCAGGCAAUCCUGGUAGCAGUAUCCAAGCCAUAACCAUAUUUGGGUAAGGCUGUGAGGGGUUGAAUUCAAUGCUCCAGGGUUGAACGGUUAAGUACUGACCAUAGGCUAUCCAUGGUCCCUGGCUUAACACCCUUUCAAAAUCUACUGGGUUAUGGAAUUUGGCCAAAUAAUAACCAUUUUCGAUAUCCAUUAGUUGGAACAGUUGAUUCGAGCGCCAUAGAGAAUGAAUCUUAUUUUGUAGAGUUCUGUAUCCAAUGUUCCUUCCUAAUAGUUUUAUAAUCACUGUAUGUUUCAUAUCUUUUAUGAGUAGUUGAUUAAUCCUGUCAGAAAAGUCGAUUGCUGGUAUGCCAUUUACCUAAGAUCUCACAAUAUCUUCAUCAAGUAGAUCUAAGUCAUUGUCGUCUUCUUCUUUAGUUGGUAUUUUUUCUUUGUCGUCGACUCGUAAGCCUUUUUCCAUGAGGUGAUCUUUCUAGGACCUAGGCCUAUCUAGGGCCGAAAUAGUUUCCAUGGCCACAUCUGCGUUACCUUCUUGAAUACUGACUGGUCUAGUUUGUGAUGAUCGAUUAUCGCUCCUCCCUUUUCUAGUUUCCUCUUGCUCUUCAGACUCCAUUCAUUAAUUAUUGCUUUGUUUCUUCAAAUAACAAUAUAUUAGCUUUUUUGAA